AGGGGUAUAGCUCAGUGGUAGAGCACUUAUUUAGGCUAAUAUGAAAUCCUAGGUUCUAUCCCUGGCACCACAA
rnacentral:tRNA from 1 species